rnacentral:lncRNA from 10 species
AGGUGAGUGCCGGGCUCGGCGCUCUGCUCCUGGAGCUCCCGCGGGACUGCCUGGGGACAGGGACUGCUGUGGCGCUCGGCCCUCCACUGCGGACUUCUCCUGAGUGGGUGCGCCGAGUCAUGGAGGGCGCAGAGCUGGCCGGGAAGAUCCUUUCCACCUGGCUGACGCUGGUUCUUGGCUUCAUCCUUCUGCCUUCAGUCUUCGGAGUGUCUCUGGGCAUCUCCGAGAUCUACAUGAAGAUCCUGGUGAAAACUUUAGAGCCCCAGGUUUCAGAGGUCCUUUUGUGUACUCAGGCAUCCUGUUCAGAAAGGCGUCGUGUUCUUCUUUAUGCCCAAGAUAAGAGACCAAUUCCUGGAUGGCAGAAAGAAAUCGUAUUUUCUUUUAGUGGAGUCAUGGAAUUUUAUCUAACUAACAGCACUUGA